CCUGCUGCUCGCUUCUUAGUAGUCCUCGACUUACAACAGUUCAUUUAGUGACUGUUCGAAGUUACCGCAGCACUGAAAAAGGCGACUUAUGACCGUCUUCCACACUUA